rnacentral:misc_RNA from 1 species
UUUCCGUAGGUGAACCUGCGGAAGGAUCAUUCAUAAUAAAGUGUUUUAUGGCUCUUUUUAAAAAUCCAUAUCCACCUUGUGUGCAAUGUUAGAUCUCGUCAAUCUUGGCGAGAUUUUUAUACAUCAACUCAUUCUUUAACUAAUUUGUCUGAAAAAUAUUAUGAAUACUUAAUUCAAAAUACAACUUUCAACAACGGAUCUCUUGGCUCUC